ensembl:snoRNA
GCUGUAAUGUGUGCAGCUUUCAUCUGUGUCUGAUAGCAGUGUCUGUCUAUGCUUGCAUUCAGAUCUUGCUAUCCCCAUAAACAUGCAGCCAAAGAGUAAGCUGGAAUCAUAGUGUUAUUUUAUUUGAAGUAAGUUGAUUACUGAUGUGUUUUAAUGAAUAAAUGCUAAGUUUUCUAGAAUUA